CCGCACAAGCCCCCGGUGGAGCAUGUGGUUUAAUUCGAUGCAACGCGAAGAACCUUACCUACUCUUGACAUCCUGCGAAUUUGGUAGAGAUACCUUAGUGCCUUCGGGAGCGCAGAGACAGGUGCUGCAUGGCUGUCGUCAGCUCGUGUUGUGAAAUGUUGGGUUAAGUCCCGUAACGAGCGCAACCCUUGUCCUUAUUUGCCAGCGCGUAAUGGCGGGAACUCUAAGGAGACUGCCGGUGACAAACCGGAGGAAGGUGGGGACGACGUCAAGUCAUCAUGGCCCUUACGAGUAGGGCUACACACGUGCUACAAUGGUCGGUACAAAGGGUUGCCAACUCGCGAGAGUGAGCCAAUCCCGAAAAGCCGAUCUCAGUCCGGAUCGGAGUCUGCAACUCGACUCCGUGAAGUCGGAAUCGCUAGUAAUCGUGGAU
rnacentral:rRNA from 1 species